UGAGGGAAUAUUGGGUCAAUGGGCGAGAGCCUGAACCAGCCAAGUCGCGUGAGGGAAGACGGUCCUACGGAUUGUAAACCUCUUUUGCCGGGGAGCAAAGGGGCCAUUGAUGGCAGGAUGAGCGUACCCGGAGAAAAAGCAUCGGCUAACUCCGUGCCAGCAGCCGCGGUAAUACGGAGGAUGCGAGCGUUAUCCGGAUUUAUUGGGUUUAAAGGGUGCGCAGGCGGACUCGUCAAGUCAGCGGUAAAAAUUCGGGGCUCAACCCCGUCCUGCCGUUGAAACUGCGAGACUGGAGUGCGACAGAGGAA
rnacentral:rRNA from 1 species